rnacentral:tRNA from 1 species
GGUCACAUUAGUUUAAUUGGUAGAGCACAGCUUUGUGGAUGCUGAGAAAAGAGUUCAAAUCUCUUAUGUGACC